rnacentral:lncRNA from 1 species
UACCUGUUUAUGUGUAUUAGACUUUUUUGUACUCGUUUAUGAAUUUCUCUCUUUCCUCAAUUCUUCUCUUUGAAUCUUCAUAUUCUUCUCUUUGAAUCUUCAUUACGUUAAAGUUAGUUACACAUACUGAACCUCUGAGAUGGUGAGAGUGAAUGAAUUGACUUACAAAAAAAAGAAUAACGAGAGGAGGAGGAGAGAAGAUAAGGUAAGAAAAUGACCGUAAAGCACCUAAUAUUAAAAGCAUUGUGCUUUUAGUGGGAGCAAAUACUCUAUUUUAUUUGUUUUUGACCCGGACUUCUUUUGAGUUGUUAGAUUUUUUUUGAAUUUUUGAUUGAUGUACGUUAUUC